UCGAGGCCCUGGCUUCCUCCCCAGCACCAGGAGAUGAAUGAAUAAGAAAAGCAAGGCGGGGUGGAAGGUGCCUUGGAAGCCUCCCUUCUACCGACCAUGACCGUCCCUCCCCUCCCGGGGCUCAGCCUCUGCUGCUCGCUGCCCCCCAGUUCUGCCUGUUCUCUCGGCCCAGGUCACGAGGCCGGCCCACCGCUGGGGCCCUUCCCCAAAGGGCAUCUGGCCGCUGGGAACCGUGUCCAAGCCUUCUCCAGCCGCCUGCGGGGCGGGGACGCCUCGGCCACUCCACGUCUCAGCCCGUGAGCAAGGCUGCUGCAGCACCUCGUGUGCAGGGGGCCUCACUCGCAUGUCCGCGAGGGGCGGCCCUGGGAUCCUGGUGGGAAGCCGCCAUGGCUAGACCUGACCUCAAGACAGAGUAAACCGUGCUCCUUCGACCCCUUGGAAUCAGAGUCCUGGGCCUGACCGGAACCUCGAAGGUCCUGCGACCUGGGUCCCCUCCCUCGCCGUGAGGCUACGUCCCUGGCUGAUGUCCAACUUGCCCAUCGGUCGGUGACCCCAGGACUGCCUGGACUUGCGCGCGGUCAUAGGUGCCAGGCAGCCUCCGGUGCGGAGGGGCGGCAGGGCCACCUGGUCCCCUACAGUUUGGGGCUUGUUCUCGUCCAACCCCAGCUCUCCACCCCGGUGGAAACUCCCCAUCUAGGCCUCAGCAGCUUCUGGGCACGGCUGCCCGGCCUCCUGCCCGGGAAAGACCGAGGUUGCCUGAGCCCAGCCUCUCCUCAGCUGCCUGGUUCCACCCUCGCCCUGGCCGGAAGGGCCGGGGCAGACCUGAGCUUGUGGGCUGCCCUCCCUUCGGAGCCCGAGCCAGCCCGCACUCCUUUCUUGCUGCCCCCCGCCUGCCUCCUUCCCCUCUUCUCGGGCGGGGCCACCUGGUGUGGGCUCCAGGAGCUGGCCUGGGCUGCAGUCCGGAUCUAAGGCUCUCCAACCAGGUUUUUCUGACCCCCAGGUUCCCGUGGGGAUGUCUCAUAGUUGAAGUGUAUAUAUUUUAAUUAUUUAGAAAUACAGGGCUGGGGCUGUAGCUCAGUGGUUUCACCACUGUUUUGAAAGUGCAAGGACCCGAGUUUGAUCCCCG
rnacentral:lncRNA from 1 species